GCUGUGAAUAGUCUCUUGUCAAAAAAGCAAGAGCUGCUCAUCUGUGAUGUCAAAAAAAAGAGCAAAGUCAGAUUAGGUGGAGAUGCCAGAUGCUGCUCACCAAGGCACACUGCCAAGUACGGUAGCUACUCCCUUAUGGACAUGGACACCUCCAAAGUGUUGGACAUGCAGCUUGUACAGUGUACAGAAGUGAAAAACUCAUAUGCAAUGGAGUUGGAAGGCCUAAAGAGGUCACUUCAAUUCCUAGAAGAUGCUGGAGUCACUGUUACUGACUUGACAACAGACCGUCAUUCCAGUGUUAAAAAGUUUAUGCGCGAGAUUUAUCCCUCAAUUAAUCACUGGUUUGAUGCCUGGCAUAUAGCAAAAGGUAUUACAAAAAAGCUUGACGCAUCAUCAAAGAAAAAGUUAUGUCACACCAUCUCACCGUGGAUCCACAGCAUCUCCAACCAUGUAU